rnacentral:rRNA from 1 species
CAGGACGAACGCUGGCGGCGUGCCUAAUACAUGCAAGUCGAACGGUCUUUCUAUGGAAGCUUGCUUCCACUGAGAAGAUAGUGGCGAACGGGUGAGUAACACGUGGGUAACCUGCCCAUAAGAGGGGGGAUAACAUCCGGAAACGGGUGCUAAUACCGCAUAGUUUUCUUGAUCGCAUGAUCGGGAAAGGAAAGACGGCCUUUGUGCUGUCGCUUAUGGAUGGACCCGCGGCGUAUUAGUUAGUUGGUGAGGUAACGGCUCACCAAGACGAUGAUACGUAGCCGACCUGAGAGGGUGAUCGGCCACAUUGGGACUGAGACACGGCCCAAACUCCUACGGGAGGCAGCAGUAGGGAAUCUUCCGCAAUGGACGAAAGUCUGACGGAGCAACGCCGCGUGGGUGAAGAAAGGUUUUCGGAUCGUAAAACUCUGUUGUCAGAGAAGAACAAGUUGGAGAGUAACUGCUCCAGCCUUGACGGUAUCUGACCAGAAAGCCACGGCUAACUACGUGCCAGCAGCGGC